rnacentral:rRNA from 1 species
GGCCCAAACUCCUACGGGAGGCAGCAGUAGGGAAUCUUCCACAAUGGACGCAAGUCUGAUGGAGCAACGCCGCGUGAGUGAAGAAGGUUUUCGGAUCGUAAAGCUCUGUUGUUGGUGAAGAAGGAUAGAGGCAGUAACUGGUCUUUAUUUGACGGUAAUCAACCAGAAAGUCACGGCUAACUACGUGCCAGCAGCCGCGGUAAUACGUAGGUGGCAAGCGUUGUCCGGAUUUAUUGGGCGUAAAGCGAGCGCAGGCGGAAUGAUAAGUCUGAUGUGAAAGCCCACGGCUCAACCGUGGAACUGCAUCGGAAACUGUCAUUCUUGAGUGCAGAAGAGGAGAGUGGAAUUCCAUGUGUAGCGGUGGAAUGCGUAGAUAUAUGGAAGAACACCAGUGGCGAAGGCGGCUCUCUGGUCUGCAACUGACGCUGAGGCUCGAAAGCAUGGGUAGCGAACAGGAUUAGAUACCCUGGUAGUCCAUGCCGUAAACGAUGAGCGCUAGGUGUUGGGGACUUUCCGGUCCUCAGUGCCGCAGCAAACGCAUUAAGCGCUCCGCCUGGGGAGUACGACCGCAAGGUUGAAACUCAAAGGAAUUGACGGGGGCCCGCACAAGCGGUGGAGCAUGUGGUUUAAUUCGAAGCAACGCGAAGAACCUUACCAGGUCUUGACAUCCUGUGCUACACCUAGAGAUAGGUGGUUCCCUUCGGGGACGCAAAGACAGGUGGUGCAUGGCUGUCGUCAGCUCGUGUCCUGAGAUGUUGGGUUAAGUCCCGCAACAAGCGCAACCCUUGUCUUUAGUUGCCAUCAUUAAGUUGGGCACUCUAAAGAGACUGCCGGUGACAA